AGCCCGGUCAAACUCUGUGUAUCGAGAGUAUUUCGGCCUUUCGAGUCGAAAACGCGGGUUCGAAUCCCGCCCGGGGCA
rnacentral:tRNA from 1 species